ACGGGGUGCAGCAGGCGCGAAAACUUUGCAAUGUGCGAAAGCACGACAAGGUUAAUCCGAGUGGUUUCUGCUAAAGGAACCUUUUGACAGUCCUAGAAACACUGUUGAAUAAGGGGUGGGCAAGUUCUGGUGUCAGCCGCCGCGGUAAAACCAGCACCUCAAGUGGUCAGGAUGAUUAUUGGGCCUAAAGCAUCCGUAGCCGGCUCUGUAAGUUUUCGGUUAAAUCUGUACGCUCAACGUACAGGCUGCUGGGAAUACUGCAGAGCUAGGGAGUGGGAGAGGUAGACGGUACUCGGGAGGAAGUGGUAAAAUGCUUUGAUCUCUCGAUGACCACCUGUGGCGAAGGCGGUCUACCAGAACACGUCCGACGGUGAGGGAUGAAAGCUGGGGGAGCAAACCGGAUUAGAUACCCGGGUAGUCCCAGCUGUAAACUAUGCAAACUCAGUGAUGCAUUGGCUUGUGGCCAAUGCAGUGUUGCAGGGAAGCCGUUAAGUUUGCCGCCUGGAAGUACGUACGCAAGUA
rnacentral:rRNA from 1 species